rnacentral:lncRNA from 1 species
GGUUGAGAUUCAGAAGUUUUAAAAAUACAAAUUUGAAAAGCAAUCAGACAUAAACAAAUACAUAUUACCUAGAAUAGAUAGAAAAUAGUAGCUAAGGGGCCAAGCAAAUUGAGCAUAUGGGAGGGGCAAAGCAAAUUAAGCAUGUGGGAGCUGAAGACCCCUUUAAUAGUGCAUAAUUCAUGUCUAUGAUGCUAUUAAGAGACACCUCUAUUUCAAGUG